rnacentral:lncRNA from 1 species
UGAAUUUGAAUGAGCCAUUUGAGAUGAUUGAAGAUUUGGGUUUUGUCAAUUGAUAAAAUUUGGGGUUUUAGUAAUUAAUUGCCAUAUUUUGUAGAUAUUGAUCUCAAAAUCGAACUUUACAGGAAGCAUUCUUUAUUUUCAGUAUACUAUUGUUUGAUCUCGGGCCUGCUGGCCGUCCGGCCACCGUGGCCUGUGGCGAUGGUGGAUGUUUCCGGUGACCGGAAAGUGCUAAAUAGGCAGAAUUUUGCACUCAACCCGUAGAGUAUGACUAUAUUAUUAGAUUUGCAAUCUGACAUUGAUUGAUAUUCAAACUAUUGUUUGACUUGAAUUUAUAAUUAGGCN